CGAAUUUUUUCUUCGUUCUUCUCCUUCAUCCUUCUUUUCUGCCGAAGCUAGGGUUAGAGAAAAACUGAUUCAAGAUGAUAAAAUUGAUUGCAACUGAUUAAUAGAGAAGACGGUGAAACUGAUUAUUAGAGAACAAUUGAUUCAAGACGAAGAUAAUAGUGAAGACAUAUAAUGAAUACUUAGGGUUUCAGAGAAGGUUUUGAUUUUGUGGAGAUGAGGUACAAAGCGGGGUUUAAAUCAGAAGAAAUCAAGAGUUAGGAUUUCCUUGAAGAAUUUCGUAUGGGAUUUGAAGAAGAGAUGGAUGAUGAUGUUGAUUCGAGAAUUAAUUCAACUCAUAAGAAGAGGGAAUUAGGGUUCAUAGAAUGAGAGAAUGAAUUUAAGGGUUCAAAUAUGCGUUACAGUUAGAAUUGAGUUGUUGAAGUAAUUAGCAUCAUGAAGAAUUCUGUGGUUCUUGGAAAUUCUGGAUCUGUAGAAGUGGGAGGAGUAAAUGGAAAAUGGGUCUUUGUAUUGCUUUACAGGGAUAAAUGGAAUUGAUUUCUUCUUGUGAUAUGUAUAUGUGAUUGUUAGGUUCAAUGGGCGUGUUAUGUUGGUGGUAGUAAACGUGGAAUUUCAAGUAUAGAUGUUGUUUGAAGCUGGAAUUACAGGUGGUGAUAGUUACUCUAAGUUGGUUUGGAUGAUAAUAAUGGUGAAGUUGGAACCCUGGCGGUAGUGAUGUUGAACCGGGAAAGAUGGUAUGAACUGUUAGAGGAGAUAAUCUAGAGUUGCAGGAAUGGAAUUGGUGAGGAAUUGAAUGCUAGGAGUUGGAUUUAGGUGUGUGCAGCUGUAGAAUGGUUAAGGUUCUGGUGGUGGAGUUGUUAGUGGACAUUGUAAGUGGUUGCAAUAUUCUCUUGAGAGAUUGUUGUUAUUGUAGUGCUGAUACUAAUAUUCAAUUACGUACAUAUGUUGCUCAAUGAAGAAAUUGCUAGGAUAGGUUCUGAUGUGGAUGCGAACUGAAAGUAUUGGAGCUGUAAUGAUGGUAGUGUGGAACGCAGGG